rnacentral:lncRNA from 15 species
CCUGUGACGAAGUGUGUUUUUCAUCAUCUAAAGGUAAAGUAACUACAUGUUUUCUAUACUUUAAUUCAAUUCAUCAUCAGGCUCCAUGUAUCAUUUCUGUAAUCUGAUAAUUUAACUCAAUUUGAACAAUUUAAAAACAGAACAACGGGUCAGAAUUUAGUUUUUUGUGUCUAAAAACUGAAAAUUAAUGUCUUCUUCUUAUUGUUUCUUCUUGGAAAGUUUAGUUAUUUCAAUUAUUUUGUUUAACUUCAACACAAUAAUCUUCUUUUGACAGUUAUUUCUGUGGUUUAAAUGAGAAAAAAUUCGACAAGAAAAAGUCACCAUGCAGCAAAGACAAAUAAAAAUUACAAUUCAAAACAUUUAAAACUGCAUUAUAGCUAAAUAUUUAUCACAGCUGACAAUCGAGCUUCCUGGAACUUCCUGAUGCCAAAUACCUUUGUGUCCACAAAUGCUGUUCAGCAAGUUUAAUUGUGAAAGUAGAAAUCUAUAAUGAAACACUUUGUUCAGACAAUAAAGGAAACACAAUCACAGUGUAAAACUAAAGUGUUGAAUGUAAUUAGUAGUUUAACUAUAUUCAACACUUUAGCUUUGAAGAGUUUAGUCACAGAUCCCCCAUCUUAACUCAAACCUCUGUGUGUGUGUGUGUGUGUGUGUGUGUGUGUGUGUGUGUGUGUGUGUGUGUGUGUGUGUGUGUGUGUGUGUGUGUGUUUGUGUUACAGCCCGUACUCGCCAGGAGUCAGUAUGACUAUAGAGCGCUACAGGUCAACAUUCAGAGAUGGAUUAUUACCCAAUGACCCUUCUACAGUGAAGAAGUAUGAAAAAGUACUGGAGGAGAUGAAGAAAAAACAGGACAAGGAGAGACUCUCUGCAACCCAGGAGGAUGUCGGAGGUGGAAUGAAAACAUUGUUGAAGCACGUGAAAUCUCCUGCUGGUCUGUUUACGGCAUCGUGUCUCCUGCUGCUUCCAAUCAUCUUUAUCCUGCGUCGCUAUUCUGGGGCAAAGUUCUCUUUUAAACCAAGACAAUGAAUCUAAAAAGCAAUAAGGUACUUAGAUAUUAAAAAGAAGGCUUGAUGUCAUUUUACCAUACUAGGAAAAAUAUUGUAUUUUUACUCUAAUAUAUACUCACUUAUGUAUUCACAUAUUUUUCUAAAAUCUGCCUGUGACUGGUUUUUUUUUGUACUGCACAGUUACCUUCUUGUUGCAUUUGGGGUGACUUAUUACUGAACUCCAACUGUAACUUUUGGUCUGGUUCUAUAUGUAUUUAUUUAAUUUUAAUUGGUCUAAUGCUUGUAAAAAUGUGCCUGGUUUAGGAAACUAUCUGAAGCCAAGUAUGAAAGGAGCUGGAGGGACUUACAAAAGAGGUUAUUGACUGUUACAGUGGCUCUUUUUAGGGUUCUUGAGCUCCGUCAAUAAGGCAUUUAUCCUCUCUCUGUUUGAGAGUCUUUAAGCAUAACUCUUCAUCCCAGUCUGUCCCUUCGUAAAUAUCUUGUAGGUAAAGUGUGAUUUCCUACGAUCAAAAGAAUAAAUACAGAAACAAAGCUAUCACUAUACCACAUGCAAUGUCCUAUUGGAUUCAAUAUAUUACAGGGAUACAGGGAAAUUGUAGCUUAAUUACCUCUAUAAUAUCUGAUGUGGGAUAAGGUGAGAGAAAGGCAUCAACACAUGAUGUUCUUUCUGUGAUGAGUGCUCAGAGACAACAAUUCACGUUUUGGAGGAAAUUGGGUUUAAUGUGGGUAAAAUGUGGGUAAAAUAAAAUAAAAAUAAAAAACAACUUCUGAGUGUUUCCUUACUUUUAUUCAUGCAAUAAUUAUCACGUGUUUUUAUUGGCUAUGUAGUGACUGUAGACAGCAGCAUUAGUUUAUUCAUAUGUUAUGACACAGUCAAUAGUUAUUGUGGGUAGGCUUUGUGAGGACACGUGAUAUGAAGAAUUAGUGUAUGAAAUUAGUAAUACAGAACUUAUUGUAAACUGUCAGCUGAUCUGUGCUAUGAGUCAGUUUUUGCUUUCAUUUGAAGUUGGCCAAAUUUCGUAUGCCCCAAAAUUCCUUUUAUGCCAAUAUUUGUCUUUUUUUUCUUUUUUAUAAAACGAAAAUGAAACAAUCUGAGAAAAGAUAGGGUUGGAUUCCCACUAUCUUCUUAUAGUUAUACGUUUUGUUGUAAGUUUGCUGUAUGUGUAACAUCACCAUGGAGACAAACACAAGAGGAAAUGUCUAAUAUAAAAUGAUUCAGGUGCUGCAGUUUCAUAUAUAAAUCACUGUUCAAAGAUAAUAUGACAAGUGAAUUUUAAAUUCAGAAAUGGCUUUAAUGCCCAUAAAUCAAUUGUAUUGCGUUUAAUUCAAAUACACAUAUUUAUAAACUGACAUAUUCACACAAAUAGUAUGAAUGUAAAAUUGCCAGGUUGGACAUCAGAGUAAUAAUAAUUAGAUUAAUAAGAGUCCACCUGCUAUACAUACAGUGCUGCAGACACUUUAUAGAUACAGUAUGUGCAGUGGUAGAUAAAGUACUCAGCUUCUUUACUAGAAUUACAAAUAUGUUAAAAUAUUAGAUCUCAAGUAAAGUCCUGAUGAAAAUACAAAAUAAAGUAAAUGUUAUUUUCAUCAGGAAAAUGUACUUGUACUUCUUGAAGUUAAAUGGGCCUGUGAUUGUUUAUUAUUAUUGAUUCAUCAAUAUGUAAGCAGCUUGUUACUUAACUUAUUUUUGUAAUAAAUGUUUUACUGAGAUUGUUGAUACUGGAGAAAAUGAAUAUCUCAUCAUGCAUUAACCAAAAUUCAACAGAAAACAAGAAAUCAAAGGUAUUUUCCAC